rnacentral:rRNA from 1 species
CCUACGGGAGGCAGCAGUGAGGAAUAUUGGUCAAUGGACGAGAGUCUGAACCAGCCAAGUAGCGUGAAGGAUGACUGCCCUAUGGGUUGUAAACUUCUUUUAUAUGGGAAUAAAACAGGGUAUGCAUACCCUCUUGUAUGUACCAUAUGAAUAAGGAUCGGCUAACUCCGUGCCAGCAGCCGCGGUAAUACGGAGGAUCCGAGCGUUAUCCGGAUUUAUUGGGUUUAAAGGGAGCGUAGGUGGAUUGUUAAGUCAGUUGUGAAAGUUUGCGGCUCAACCGUAAAAUUGCAGUUGAAACUGGCAGUCUUGAGUACAGUAGAGGUGGGCGGAAUUCGUGGUGUAGCGGUGAAAGGCUUAGAUAUCACGAAGAACUCCGAUUGCGAAGGCAGCUCACUGGACUGCAACUGACACUGAUGCUCGAAAGUGUGGGUAUCAAACAGGAUUAGAUACCCUGGUAGUC